AUAGCCUAAUGGUUAAGGGUACGGAUUUCCGAUCACGAGGUCGGGGGUUCGAAUCCCUCU
rfam:Papilio xuthus contig17516, whole genome shotgun sequence.